UGGGGAAUAUUGCACAAUGGGCGCAAGCCUGAUGCAGCCAUGCCGCGUGUGUGAAGAAGGCCUUCGGGUUGUAAAGCACUUUCAGUGGGGAGGAAGGCGAUAAGGUUAAUAACCUUGUCGAUUGACGUUACCCGCAGAAGAAGCACCGGCUAACUCCGUGCCAGCAGCCGCGGUAAUACGGAGGGUGCAAGCGUUAAUCGGAAUUACUGGGCGUAAAGCGCACGCAGGCGGUCUGUCAAGUCGGAUGUGAAAUCCCCGGGCUCAACCUGGGAACUGCAUUCGAAACUGGCAGGCUAGAGUCUUGUAGAGGGGGGUAGAAUUCCAGGUGUAGCGGUGAAAUGCGUAGAGAUCUGGAGGAAUACCGGUGGCGAAGGCGGCCCCCUGGACAAUGACUGACGCUCAGGUGCGAAAGCGUGGGGAGCAAACAGG
rnacentral:rRNA from 1 species